CAUGGCUCUUUAGGCAUGAAAACAGAAGCAACCAUCUAGGCCUGCGUGACCUGGUGAUGAAUGGAGUCACCAUUAAAGUCAUGGACCUCUCAGCUUACAACUAUUGUUGGAGAACAUUUGUCAACCUUCAAAAUGUAGAAGACUACUGGCCUUGGCACCUCACCCCAUGGAUAAUGUUCUUUUCUUUUGAACUCCAGCUUAUCCUUCAGGGAUCCACAGCCAGUUUACAGAUCUGGCCGGCAAGUAGCAAUCAGAUUCCGAGUUUCAGUCUUAUUCCACCAGAAUAUUGUCACCUAAUGCCUCUGCAAAGGGUUGCCACAGAAGCCAGUCAUGUGAAGUCAUCACAUGAUUGGCCUGAAUCAAUGGCCAGUCACCAGCAACUGCUAGUGUUUGGGCCUGAACCAAUAGCCAAUCACCUGCAACAGCCAAUGUUUAGGCCUGGACCAGCAGUCAGUCA